rnacentral:rRNA from 1 species
AUUGAACGCUGGCGGCAUGCCUUACACAUGCAAGUCGAGCGGCAGCACGGGUGCUUGCACCUGGUGGCGAGUGGCGAACGGGUGAGUAAUAUAUCGGAACGUACCUUAUUGUGGGGGAUAACGCAGCGAAAGCUGUGCUAAUACCGCAUAAUCCCUAAGGGGGAAAGCAGGGGACCGUAAGGCCUCGCGCAAUUAGAGCGGCCGAUACCUGAUUAGCUAGUUGGUGAGGUAAAGACUCACCAAGGCGACGAUCAGUAGCUGGUCUGAGAGGACGAUCAGCCACACUGGGACUGGGACACGGCCCAGACUCCUACGGGAGGCAGCAGUGGGGAAUUUUGGACAAUGGGGGCAACCCUGAUCCAGCAAUGCCGCGUGAGUGAAGAAGGCCUUCGGGUUGUAAAGCUCUUUUGUCAGGGAAGAAACAGCAGCUCUAACACAGUUUGCGAAUGACGGUACCUGAAGAAUAAGCACCGGCUAACUACGUGCCAGCAGCCGCGGUAA